UACGGAGGGGGCUAGCGUUAUUCGGAAUUAUUGGGCGUAAAGAGCUCGUAGGCGGUUCGUCGCGUCGGCUGUGAAAACCCGGAGCUCAACUCCGGGCCUGCAGUCGAUACGGGCGGACUUGAGUGUUGCAGGGGAGACUGGAAUUCCUGGUGUAGCGGUGAAAUGCGCAGAUAUCAGGAGGAACACCGGUGGCGAAGGCGGGUCUCUGGGCAACUACUGACGCUGAGGAGCGAAAGCGUGGGGAGCGAACAGG
rnacentral:rRNA from 1 species